CGGACGGCUUCACGUGCGGCGCUCUCGGGCAUGCUCCAAGUCUCUAACCCCUAGCCCUCACCUCACCGAUCCGGUGGCACCCUGCUCGACUCCGGCGGCUCCGUGCUCGACUCUUGCUGCUCCUGCUCAUCCUCUCAUGCCGCUCACCUCCCCGAUCCGGCGGUCCUUUAGCGCCACUCGCCUCCCCGACUGGUGGCUCGCUACUCGAUCCCGGCGGUUGCUACUCCAGCAAUCGCGCCCCUCGCUGAUCCGGUAGCUCCUCUCCGACCCCAAAGGGUGGAUCUGAUCGGUAGUGUGGAAUGAGUCAAGUCCUUUGGCGCUUGACUGCGACUAAGUACUUGAGCAGCAAUUUGAUUAUUCAACAAUCUGUGACCAGUUUCUCAAGUUCUAUGUUGGGCAUCAUUGCCUACUGUUGGAAUUGGAACUCACUAGAAGAAUAGGACAGAUCCACGAAUCUUCCCUUGCUUUGGAGUGAACAAUUUCACACUCUUGCAUUAGAUAUUUUUAUUUCUUCUAAAUAUAGAAAUUGGAUCAAUCAUAUGCAUAUUUGUGUACAGCGGAUGUGUGGUGCACGGUGGUUGAUCUGCAGUGUUCGGUGGCUUAAUUGCUCAAGUUCUAGGCUGUAACUCAAGUUCUGCAACAAUCUGUGGAUGACCAAUUGCUUUCUCCGACGACGAUUUAAAAACAACAUAUACAGUAGAUGAAGAUGGAACAGUACUCUGGCGACCACCUGGCUCAUGGCACAUUAGCAAUUUGAUGGUCUUAGAAAGCAUCACAGUGUUGUUUCUUUCAGCUAUAUACAACUUCCAGAAAAUAAUGAAACCAGUAGUGGCGGAUUUGAAUGGUUGUUCAGUUUUAGUUUGUCAUGCUUUCAACUCUCAAAUAGUUCAUAUCUGUGAUUGUUAACA